GAUGAAGAACGCAGCGAAAUGCGAUACGUAGUGUGAAUUGCAGAAUUCAGUGAAUCAUCGAAUCUUUGAACGCACAUUGCACCUCUCGGUAUUCCGGGAGGUAUGCCUGUUCGAGCGUCAUUUGUACCCUCAAGCUCUGCUUGGUGUUGGGUGUUUGUUCCGCCUCUGUGUGUGAACUCGCCUCAAAACAAUUGGCAGCCGGCGUACUUGUUUCGGAGCGCAGCACAUUUUGCGAUCCAGAUCAACGUACAGCGGCAUCCAAGAAGCCUUAUUUAACGCUCUUGACCUCGGAUCAGGUAGGGAUACCCGCUGAACUUAAGCAGAUCAAUAAGCGGAGGA
rnacentral:misc_RNA from 1 species